GAUUUGGGGCGCUGCCGCUUUACUGCCCGGCUCGCCUUAAAGGUCUUAGUGGGAAUAGUCGGACCCAUAGCUUGGCGUAAUAAGUUUCGCUUUGCUCGUGGCCGACGAAAGUCCGCUCAUAACAACCAAUACUUUCUUGAUCUGACCUCAAAUCAGGUAGGGCUACCCGCUGAACUUAAGCAUAUCAAUAAGCGGAGGAAAAGAAACUAACAAGGAUUCCCCUAGUAACGGCGAGCGAACCGGGAAGAGCUCAAAUUUGAAAUCUGGCGUCCUCAGGGCGUCCGAGUUGUAAUCUAUAGAGGCGUUUUCCGUGCCGGACCGUGUCCAAGUCCCUUGGAACAGGGUAUCAAAGAGGGUGACAAUCCCGUACUUGACACGACCACCGGUGCUCUGUGAUACGUCUUCUACGAGUCGAGUUGUUUGGGAAUGCAGCUCAAAAUGGGUGGUAAACUCCAUCUAAAGCUAAAUAUUGGUGGGAGACCGAUAGCGAACAAGUACCGUGAGGGAAAGAUGAAAAGCACUUUGGAAAGAGAGUUAAACAGUAUGUGAAAUUGUUGAAAGGGAAACGAUUGAAGUCAGUCGUGUCCAUUGGAUUCAGCCGGUUCUGCCGGUCUACUUCCUUUGGACGGGUCAACAUCGGUUUUGGUCGACGGAUAAUGGCGGGAGGAAGGUAGCACCCCUCGGGGUGUGUUAUAGCCUCCCGUCGCAUACGCCGGCCGAGACCGAGGAACGCAGCUCGCCUUCAUGGCAGGGGUUCGCCCUCUCCGAGCUAG
rnacentral:rRNA from 2 species